AGCGAACGCUGGCGGCGUACUUAACACAUGCAAGUCGAACGGGGAUCAUCGGGUUAGCAAUAACUCGGUGGUCCUAGUGGCGCACGGGUGAGUAACACGUGGGUAACCUGCCCUGGAGACCCGGGAUACCCCCUCGAAAGGGGGGCGUAAUACCGGAUACGUUCCCUGGAUCGAGAGGUCUGGGGAGGAAAGGUGGCGAAAGCUGCCGCUCUUGGAGGGGCUCGCGGCCUAUCAGCUAGUUGGCGGGGUAACGGCCCACCAAGGCUAUGACGGGUAGCUGGUCUGAGAGGACGACCAGCCACACGGGGACUGAGACACGG
rnacentral:rRNA from 1 species